ACCUGUUUUCCAGAGGCUUCACCCCCCGAUCCGGAACCCGAGCCCAUGCAGGUGGGAAGGUUCCGCCUCUCAUCGGAGGAGAGACGACGCCGUCGAACGGGGGGCUUGUGCAUGUACUGCGGGGUUGCUGGUCAUUAUGCGGCUUUAUGUCCGGCCAAGAACAAUAAAUCAUCCGCUGGCUCCUCCCGUUGAGAUCGCUGGUGGUGAGUGGUUUGGUUGAUUCCUUGUUGCUGUCUCUGAUGAGCCCUCUUCCUGCUACGCUGAGUGUUUUAUCUGCUCUGUUGAUGACUUCAUCGGAGACAUUGCUGUUUCUCUACGACAAAUGUUUGAUCUACUCUGUUGAUGAGUUUAUGAACAUUUAUCCGGCGUUGCCGAGACGGACCAUCUCUUUAAUUACUACUACAGUUUCCUCACUUCCAACCACUCACCAUUUUCCCUGUUUUGCUUAGUCAAGCAAUAAAGAUUUUUUUUACUUGCA